rnacentral:rRNA from 1 species
UACGGAGGGUGCAAGCGUUAUCCGGAUUUACUGGGUUUAAAGGGUGCGUAGGUGGGUCUGUAAGUCAGUGGUGAAAUCUCCGGGCUUAACCCGGAAACUGCCAUUGAUACUAUAGGUCUUGAAUAUCCUGGAGGUGAGCGGAAUAUGUCAUGUAGCGGUGAAAUGCUUAGAUAUGACAUAGAACACCAAUUGCGAAGGCAGCUCACUAACGGGGAUUAUUGACACUGAGGCACGAAAGCGUGGGGAUCAAACAGGAAUU